GAUGAACGCUGGCGGCGUGCUUAACACAUGCAAGUCGAACGAAGCACUUCAUUUGAUUUCCUUCGGGGCAGAUUAUUUUGUGACUCAGUGGACGACGGGUGAGUAACGCGUGGGUAUCCCGCCUUGUCUAGGGGGAUAACAGUUAGUAACGGCUGCUAAUACAGCAUAAGUGGACAGCAACGCUUGGUGCAGGGAGAAAAACUCCGGUGGUAUAAGAUGGAGCCGCGUUGGACUAGCUAGUUGGUGAGGUAACGGCCCACAAAGGCGACGAACCAUAGCCUAGCAGUGAGGGUGACCGGCCACAUUGGGACUGAGACACGGCCCAAACUCCUACGGGAUGCAGCAGUGGGUAAUAUAGCACAGUGGGCGAAACCCUGAUGCAGCGACGCCGCGAAAGCUAAGAAGUAUUUCGAUAUGUAAAGCUCUAGCAGCAGGCAAGAUAUUGACGGUACCUUGCUAAGAAGCACCGGCUAAAUACGUG
rnacentral:rRNA from 1 species